UUUCAGCUCGGCGAACAGAACCACAGCAACGAGUACCCGAGCUACAAAUCUUCUCACAAACUUUGAACUGAAGAGAGAUUCCCUGAAUAAGUUACUGUAUAAUUAGAAACAUCUCUUAAAAUAUGCAAGAUUUUUCAGGUUUUAUAUGGCUAAAUAUUUAGUAUAUGUUUGUAAAAUGAUUUCCUUUUUGAAUUCUUCACAGGAUAGCCACCCCAUUAACCAUGGAUAUGUAUGCAUGGACUGCAAAGCAGGCAGUCCUGUACAAUGGAAUUCUACUGGUGGGUGUUGGUGUAGAAUCCAUUGUUGCUUUUAUGAUAACAAAGCUUCUUUCGAAAAGAUUCAAAGAUCAUUUGUUGCUGCUUGGAGGAUUUGUUAUCAUUUUCCUUGGGUUCUUUGUUUUGCUACCUUGGGGAAAUCAGUACCCUCCAAUCCAGUGGACAGGUACCAUUUGAUUUGUCUUCAACUGCUGAAGGACCUAGUAUUUUCUUUUUAGUAUUAGUGUACGUGCAAUGUGCCUUCAUGGUUAUUUCAGUUGUUAAAUGUGCUGAUUGUUUUCGGGUCUUUUUGGUGUAUUUUAUAUGUUUUACUUAUCUCUUUGGCCAGUAAAACAUUUUUCAAAUUGCUGGAAAUUUUCAGAAUAGUAAAAUACCAGUAAAGCUUACUAUCUUUUGACUAAUUUCUAUUCAAGAACAUUUUCUGAAAAUAACUCAAAGUACUUCUGAAUUCAGUCAACUUGGCACAACAUUUAAAUUCACAAAUAUCUAGGAGGAACGCAGUCAAAAUAAUUUAACCACACUGUUGUUGAGGAAGGAGAUCACCUUGCUAGCGAAAAAAAAGUGG